rnacentral:rRNA from 1 species
UACGUAGGGGGCAAGCGUUGUCCGGAAUCAUUGGGCGUAAAGCGCGCGUAGGCGGCCCGGUAAGUCCGUUGUGAAAGUCAAAGGCUCAACCUCUGAACGCCGAUGGAUACUGCCGGGCUAGAGUCCGGAAGAGGCGAGUGGAAUUCCUGGUGUAGCGGUGGAAUGCGCAGAUAUCAGGAGGAACACCAAUAGCGAAGGCAGCUCGCUGGGACGGUACUGACGCUGAGGCGCGAAAGCGUGGGGAGCGAACAGG